CCUACGGGUGGCAGCAGUGGGGAAUAUUGGACAAUGGGGGGAACCCUGAUCCAGCCAUGCCGCGUGUGUGAAGAAGGCCCUCGGGUUGUAAAGCACUUUCAGUGAGGAAGAACGCCUGGUGGUUAAUACCCAUCAGGAAAGACAUCACUCACAGAAGAAGCACCGGCUAACUCCGUGCCAGCAGCCGCGGUAAUACGGAGGGUGCGAGCGUUAAUCGGAAUUACUGGGCGUAAAGCGCGCGUAGGUGGCUUGAUAAGCCGGUUGUGAAAGCCCCGGGCUCAACCUGGGAACGGCAUCCGGAACUGUCAAGCUAGAGUGCAGGAGAGGAAGGUAGAAUUCCCGGUGUAGCGGUGAAAUGCGUAGAGAUCGGGAGGAAUACCAGUGGCGAAGGCGGCCUUCUGGACUGACACUGACACUGAGGUGCGAAAGCGUGGGUAGCGAACAGGAUUAGAUACCCCUGUAGUC
rnacentral:rRNA from 1 species